CCUUCCCCACCGCCCCUCGCAGUUUGUUUACAAGUAUCAAAGUUGUAAUUGAGGAGCUGCCAAGGCACAUCUGGAUAUUUUUCUUCUUCUUCUUCUUCUUUGUGUUAGGGACUGAUGUGCAACUAAUUAAAGGCAGACAGGCUGGUAGCGUCUGCACACUCAAGCCCCCCCAAAUAAAGAGCCUGAGAACACCUGUUCCCAGCGCUGAAGCAUUCCGAUGGUUCUUUUAAGCAGUAGUGUAUCUUAUUUUCGAGGCAGUCCGAAGUGAAUGGAAAGCUAAAGUCUUGUUUUAAGAAACUGCUUAGUCCACCAUUGAAGAAUAUACUCAGAUACUAUUUUCAUUUAUGUAUAGGGGUUUCCUCAAAAGCAAAAGACAAAAACCUGUGAGCCUGGGGAAUUGGCCAGCUUCUUCACAUUCAGUACACCGAUUCUUUCUUUGAUGUAACUUAGCUAUACUAGUGAAGUUGUUGUCUAUUUUUAAAGUGGCUGUAAAAAAAAAAAAGUUUGGGUAAACCCCUGCUAUAAAGUCAUGUAUCUUUGAAAAGUAACAUAUCUAUACUUCAUUUUCAAAUAUAUGUGUUUCAGUACUGUAAACUGUACAGAUAGCCGCUUGUAUUUUGUGUGUUUAGACACAAGGAGACAAUCAUGUCUGAGCAUCAAUGGAGAUAAACGGUUUGUACACAACAGUGUGGUUCUGCAAAUUGAAUCCGGAGCAAUAAAUUCUAGCUUUAACUAUUAUUUUGCUAGUUGUUUAGCAGCAGCAGCAGCAACAGCAGCACUGUUUUACCAUGCAUCCUUCCAUAGAGACUUGAUGCCAAGUUUUCCAAGAUAAAAGAUUGUGAUGCAUCUAGCAAUUACCUUCUGUUGUGGUGUUGUGAGAGGGGAAGACGUAACACUUAAAAUUAAUCUUUCAAGCACUAUAUUAGAAUAGUGGUUUGUGCACUUGCAUUGCUUCCAAAGGAGCUUUACAGAGGGGUAUCUCUCAAAAAAUGCUGUCUGGUGUCUGGCUCAUUUUUCACUGUGCCCAGCAUAGGCAAAUGUGCAAAACUAGUAAUUUAAAUAAAGAUUGUUCUAGGAUACAAACCAGAGUAUGGGACCUUAGGAAAAAUGAUGACUCAGUUUAAUUACCCUUCACCUACAAGAUCUUAUGUAACACUUUCAGUCAAUGGAGUAAAUAUUUUAUAAAGUGGAAUGCCAUAUUUUUGGUUCUGGUGGAGCUCUUCACAGUUAAGUGAGUUUGGACAGUUGGACUGGUUUAGGUCUCACUUGCACUUGUGCUCAUUGAGAGCCUGGAUAUUUUUGCGGUAUAAAAAAGAUUUUUUUUUUUUUUUUGUGCUUUAAAAAAAAGACCACUUCUCCCCACAUAUUUCUUGGUCCACUGAUCUCGGCUUUGCUGAAUGACUGGUCCCUUAAGCCCUUAAAAAAUGCUUUGCCGUUCUUCUUCCUGUUCUAGCUGUAUGGAAGAAAUGUCUACUCCAUGGAAAGGCAGCACACAGAGGGAUAUAGCUGACCUGCCAUAAAAAAUAAGGAGAAUUCUUUACUUAGGGAUACUUACUAUCAGUCGAUCAUCACUUUUUAUCACUUGGCUUUGUCAUACCACUCUGGAGUGAGAAGGCCAUGCCACCAAAGUAAGUGAAUGCUGUUGUGCCAUGUAUCUGGAUAGAUUUAUAAUUUUAUACAAGAUAGGCCUACCAGUAGUUUCACAAACAAGGUGCUGGGCAUGGUAAUAACCAAUUAAUGUUGCACAGCACAUGUAAAUCUCCUACUGUUUCAGCACUUUCUUCGGGGUUUUGCUAAGUACUUCAGCCUUUGGCCCCUGGUCACACUUACUUGAUGAAGCAUGAGGGAUGGGUUAGGAAUGCUCCAAUGGGACUGUGCAGGUGGGGAAGAUGCCAGCUUUGGCAAGUGAGGGCUGGCAGGUGUCAGGAAUAGCCCAGAAAGUGAAGACCAGGGGAUGGAGGCAGAGAAACCUCCUGAAGUCACAUGUGUGCAUCAGCAGGACCGGGCAGAGCGUGGGUGACCCAGGGUAACUGGAGGGCACAGUUGGGCUGGGCUUACACCUGCAUCCUCAGCUCAGGGUCAGUGCAUGUGUCUGUGCCCUUGCGUCGCACGAUGCCACAUACAGGGCUUCGGAGGAGGAAUGUCACGCUUAAAAUGAUUCUAUCAUGGUGUCCCUCUUACAGUUUGUGAGAUCCUCAGUUGUAUACUCAUCCAAUGCCCAUUCAGUGAGCUCUGUGUCUGUUUGUAGGGCAGCUGUGUAUGGAUUUUUUUGUGUUGGAGACUUUUUGGUUAGGGGCCUCUGUUACUGAUCAUUAGACCAAUAUGAGCUCUGCAAGGUCUUCUCUACCAAAGUGCUGAUUGACUUACAAACUGAAGCCUUAUUUGCACAUCUGGCUGGUAAGGUUGCCUUGCUCUUUGGAAAACUCUCAUUGCUCUUACAGAAGCAGAGGCAAAGUUAAGUUCAGGAUACAUUAGGUGUACAAAGAUACUCAUAGCAAUGUACUUACUGUCUAAUACCCUAAUGUUGCAUGUCUUGUGGUUCCUUUUUUUUUGUUUUGUUGUUUUGUUUUAAAGAACUGCUGUAUCUGUAAAUUGUAAUUCUGGUGUUUUACAUGUCAAUCCAAAAUUGUUAAACACACAAACAAGCAUACCUGUUAAUUAUUGAAAAUGAACCAGAGGUGAUUUUUCUUUGUUUACCCUUACGGUUUUCAUUUCAGAGGUUGUUGCUUUGCACCAUCAGGUUUUUAGAUUCUGCUGAAACAGUAUUUAAUAUGAUGUAGUGUGCAUAGAGCAUUUUAAUUAGUGAUGUUUGAAGAAGGAAAUCCAUUUUCUGGCCUGUCUCUCCCCAUUUAUAUACAUAUUUGUCAGUCAGAUUAUUGUCAAGUUCUAAUUACCAAAUUUGUGCUUUUCACAAGGUCCAAUACUGUUUUUCAGUAUGAAAAUUUGUAUUCUUCUCCAUUCUUCAUUCUCACAGUGAAAAGUAAAAAAAAAAAAAAAAGGUGUGGGCAAAAAAAAAAAUAGUAGAACUCUGUCUUCUAGGUGUGAGUGAGUGCUAAGCCUAGUGGAAGCAUUUUUGGCAUACCCCAGAUAAACUUAUGAAAAAUGGUAAGCUUGAAAGGGAGGCACACGUACCCAUUCUGUCAAUUAAUAACAGACCCUCCCUAUGAGGGAAAAUACUCCCUUUUGUACAGACCCCCUGGUAUGUAAGUCCUACAAUUAAUGUUGAAGAAUGUAAAGUCUUUAAACGGGCUAUAUCUGUAAUCAAAUAAUGAAGAAAGAAAGUAGUUAAAUGAACAUACCAUUCAGGGUCGAAUGCAUUCAGCAAAAAGCAGUAGUGGGUCUUUGAUCAUGGUUAGAUGCAUAGUGAUAUCAAACAGUGGGUUCUCAUGUAACAGCUAAAUGUUUCAGAUUUUGUUUUUAUUAAAUUUGGCAGUUUCACGCUGAGCUCUACUGUAUUCUUAGUGAACAAAAGACAGCUCCUAUGUUAGAGUACUCCAUUUUCACAAUUGCAGGGAACUAGGAGGGUAUUUUCAGAAACAUGGGCCACAGAAAUGUACUCCUUUCACAGUGUUCUCCUAUUUCUGAACUGUGCAGUUAUCUAUUAAAUUUUCUAAUAGAUAUUUGUGUAAGGUGUAUGUAUGCUUGUGCAAUUAUGGAAAAAAACAGUUUUGGAAAACAGUGUAUUUAUGAAAAAAUAAUCACUUAUGGGGCAUGUACAAAACUGUAUAAAACAUUCAAUUUGCCCAGUAAAGUUGUUUUUUGUGAUA